GGGAGUGGCAGACGGGUGAGUAACACGUGGGAACCUUCCCUAUAGUACGGAAUAGCCCAGGGAAACUUGGAGUAAUACCGUAUACGCCCGAAAGGGGAAAGAAUUUCGCUAUAGGAUGGGCCCGCGCAGGAUUAGCUAGUUGGUGAGGUAAUGGCUCACCAAGGCGACGAUCCUUAGCUGGUUUGAGAGAACGACCAGCCACACUGGGACUGAGACACGGCCCAGACUCCUACGGGAGGCAGCAGUGGGGAAUAUUGGACAAUGGGCGCAAGCCUGAUCCAGCCAUGCCGCGUGAGUGAUGAAGGCCUUAGGGUUGUAAAGCUCUUUUGGCGGGGACGAUAAUGACGGUACCCGCAGAAUAAGUCCCGGCUAACUUCGUGCCAGCAGCCGCGGUAAUACGAAGGGGACUAGCGUUGUUCGGAAUCACUGGGCGUAAAGCGCACGUAGGCGG
rnacentral:rRNA from 1 species